rnacentral:lncRNA from 1 species
AUACCCCAAACACACAGAGACAGGGAGAAAGAGAAAGAGAGAGAGACUUUGGUAAUCCACCUAGAGAGUUGCUGACAAAGCAGCUGAGCAUGGAUGCCCAGGAGGUGAUGUGAUUCUUGUGCCCUUCUGGACGCUCAGUUAUUCACCCACGUUAGGCCUUCACUAACUACAGGAAGGGAGAGAAGAGGGCAGCUUGGAACCCAUGUGAUCAGAAGCCCCUGACCUGUAUGCUGGGUGUCUGAGGGUGGAAAUGAGAACAUAAUCACCCAUGAUGAGCUGGCUGAGCAAAGUUGGGCCAAGCCAUCAAAUGCAGCUGUUGGCUUUCCACGGGAAUCAUCUCUCUUGCCUCCCAGUACACUUCAGGAGUUUCCAUACAGGUAAAAUUGCUGUUCUCCACAGCACUCCAAAUCUACACGCCUUGGAGAGCCCGUUUCCAUCCCUUCAGAAAGCAUCAAGAGGAGAGGAGGAAGCUUUUGGAGGUGAUUGACAUGUUUAUGGCAUAGAUUGUGGUGGUGGUUUCAUGGAUAUAUACUUAUCUCCAAGCUGCUCAACUUGUAUACAUUAAAUAUGUAUGGUUUUUUGGAUGUCAAUCAUAUCUCAAUAAAUUGUUUUUUUAAAAAGGAAAUGCA